UUUUUUUGGCAGUAAACUGUUACUCACCACAGGGAAGCUGGAAACCAGAUGCCAAUUCUGUUUUACUGCUCAGAGGGGUGAUGAACAAUUUCAGAGCAUUCUUAAGACCAUGCCUUCAUGGAGCGUGAUCUGACUAUAGUGGGAUGCCAUGUACGCUGGGGAGGCAGGAGGAGGACCAGCAGCAGUAGAAUCACAAACCUGUGUUUCAUUCUCCCUUGUAAGGAUUCCAGCCAAAUGCAAUAGCAGAUGCUUUUUGGUUUCUAGUGGAGCUAUUGGAGUUAAAUUCUUGGGCAUAGGAGUCAAACUCCUCUGGUUUCAGCAGGCCUGCGUUUAAGCAGCUGAAAGUAAAACCUGGCCCAUCUUUUUGAGGGAGAAAGCUAUUCAUUCAAGAGGAUUUAUCGGAAGGGGACAGGAACACCAAAACACAUCUCAGUGCUUCAAGGAAAAGAACGGAAAAUAGCCACGGACCAUAGGCAAAUGGAGACUGAUGGAAAGGAAAGAAGAAGACUGCAAAGCUGAAGAACGGAGAGAUGUCUAAGAAGAUGGAGAGGGUCACUGGGCAACGUAGAGAAAAGACACAGCCUGUAACGCUGUCAAGGCUUUAUGCAGCACUUUGUCUGGGUUUUGUUUGGCUCCUCGGACACAAACCAGCCACGGCAAUGUGAGAACAGACCGUCUUCUAUGGCCAAAAAGAAUUAGGGUCUCCAUCAAUACCUGGAGGAUGACUUUGAUAGCAGCACCCAAUCUGGCACCAGCACAUGGAAAUGCACUGCAGCUGCGCAGUUAGUCCUCAUGGAUGCGGGGAAAAUCCUCCUUUUUUUUCCCCCAGUUUCAAAAGCAUGAGAUCCAUCACUGGCCACUUGAUUUCUAGCGCUUGAGAAGCAAUCAGUAAAUGGCUCUGAGGAGGAAACAUCCCUGCCCAUCACCGUAUAGAACAGAUGGGUGCAUGAAGGGUGAUGUGGUUCUGCAUAUCAUCAAGAUACAUGAUUCCGCACCAGAGGAAGCUGGUUCAAGCAGAAAGACACCCAAGACGCUGAAGUAACAAGGAGUAAUUUAGCCAAAGUCAUCUAGGACGCUAAGAGUGAAUUACAGCCGGAUCAGAAGACUGAAUCAAAGAGCAUCUCUUAUCUCCCCUUGGAUUUUCGGUGAUCCUUGAUAGCAGAGAAAGCUGGGUCACAGCUAGAUCAUGACAGUAAGGAGAAAUGGAGAUGGGAGUAUUGGAGAUAAAACAAGGAGUCGGAACACUGAAAAGAAGAGAUGCUUUUGGAAGAGCAAAGUGGCCAGUUCUGGUUUUGUCUAGUUAAUCGUCCUCCAGCAAAGCCUGACUCUCUGUUAAUGCCAACAGUCGUAGCUGGAUGGAGGAUGCUAGUGAGUGUAUAAUGGCAGCUGCUUUUCCCUUGCAGUCUUUAUUACAAAGAUCUCAUUCUUGCCUCUGUGGGACCUAUUGAAAUCCUGAGUAUGGCAAGUGCCGGAGAACCAACCACUGUUGACAACUGGCCGGUUGUAGCAGGACACAAAAACCUUCAUUGCUUGGAAUUGGGUGAUUCAAGUAGCCUCCACGAUGUCUUGUCUUGGGCUGAACCAUCUACUGAGGGGAAAAGAAACAGAGGCACAGAUUUUAUGUUGGAAGAAGCUUUGAAGGUAAUUCCAAGGACUGUUGUAUAAUUUGUCUGGGAAAAUAUGUUAAUGAGAUGUUAACAUGCCUUAUAGCUUCUGGUCCUGCUGAAAUCAGAGGAGGCAUAUGAGGGGAACAAGACUGCAGUUUAUCAAGCUCAGUGGUGCUUUUUGGCUAUUGUUAAAAUCCCUUAAAACAAGUUUCCAAAGGUUUAACUUGUGUAGGAAGAUAGACCUUUUUUUUUUUAAUGUGGUGUAUAGGAAAAAGAAAACUGACCAAUGCCCCCCUGUAUUCAUGAGGAAGAGUCAAACUGAAAAUAUCAACUAAAUUUAGGACAAUUAUUCUUUUGUGCAAUAGAUAAUCAGGAAAAAUAGAAAUUGAAAUAAUUACUGCACCCUUCUGAAUAUAAUGGUUAAAUUUAAAAAGAUGCUAAACAUUUAUUAAUGUCUUUUAUGGUUAUGUUUGUGAGAUGGUCAGCAGUCAACAUACAAAGCAACUUAAUUUUUGCUGAGAUCAGGAGAGCACCUUUUCUUUCAUGGACGACAGUGCAAAUGUGUAGAAGCAGGGACGCCUUACUCGAUGCAUUAGCUGUGGCAUUGCUAAAGGGAGGGAGAUGAAAGAUGUCUGAUGCAGUGUUUUGCAGGCAUAGAAUUUCAAGCUAGAAAGACAUGAUGUAGCAAUCAGGUGAUGUUCAGAACAAGAAGGGAUGCGGUCUGGUGGUUCUUUGUUUCUAUGGUUACAUUCAGCUGGAAUUGCUGUAACUAGGUCAGAUUGGAAGGUGUGAAUGAAAACAAAGACAUUUGGAAUCGGUAAUGAGAGUUCAGAGAGAAGACUGUUGCUAUGAGGGAGAGCAAGAAGGGAGUUGAAUGUGGAACCAGGCAUUUUAAUGUACACUUGUAAUGUGUAUGUAUGAAGUCCCACACAGAUGGAUCUAUUUCAGCGUCAUUCACUCUUCUAUCAUUAUGCAGUAGUCUAUUAUAUGAAGAAUCAUCUGCAGACCCUUAAACAGGCGUAUUAUGCGAUAGACCUGCGGUGACACCUUUCCUCCCUCUGGCUGCAUAUCCAGGCAGCAGCACCCAACGGAGCCAGAGGAACAGAAAAGGCCGUGGCAGCUGAAAGGGAGAGGCAGGACAGACGGAAAAGCUGGAGAGAUUUGGUGGAAAAGGGAAACAAAACCAAGGGCAGGGAAGAUGAGGCAUCCUCAGCCCAGAAGUAAAGGAGAAACAGGUUGUGAAAGCGGUCUAAAAAGAAGCAAGAGUGAACUGCGCUGCAGAGCCUACGCAUCGUUCCUCUGUUGAUGGCUCGGGUCCGUGGCUUUUCUGCUGUCUCUAAAUCCUCUAUCUGGUGCAUGAUAUCAUUUUCCAGGCUGUGUCUUCACCUGGCAUGGAACAUUGACCACCAAGCCUCUGUCCUUUCCAACUAGCAAGUCACCUAGGACCAGCCACUUGGUAUUUUGAUCCCUUUCCCACGUUUCUUACCUGCUCAGUGCAGGAUUUGGCAUUUGCUUAUGUUAAACUACUUGAAGUUC